ensembl:snoRNA
UGCACUGAAUGGUAUCUGCACUCAACAGUUUAUUCCUGCUGAUGUGUUCAAAAGACAGUGCGACAGGAAUUCAGUGUGUGGCAUCGUUGGUUUUCUUGGCUUUGUGCAUGUUAAACCUGGUAUUUCUACUGAUACAUUA